rnacentral:rRNA from 1 species
AUGGUGGUGCUCAAGUACGGUCAUGUGACCAAGAAGCGGUACGACCGGCAAGGGUGGACAUGCUCGUUCAAGGUCCAUGUGCUCGGCGACGACGGGCAGUGGAAUGAGACAAGAGACAUCGGCGACGUCGCGCUGUUCGUCGGGGUGAACAACUCGCUGUGCGUGCCGACGAGGGGACGCUCGGAGAUCGAGGCCGGCUGCGUCUAUUUCACUGACGACAGACUCAGGGCCGUGCGCAAGGAGUAUUAUUCGCUUUGGGAUGAUGACGAUGUGGACGUUCGUGCUGUUGGGGUGUACAGCCUCAAGGACAGCACGCUGAAGAAGAUGGAGGCGCUCGGGCAAGAGUACAACAGGUGCAGGUUCUCGCCGCCGCCGGUGUGGAUCACACCUUCUAUCCCAUGA